CAAUAGUGUAUCUUAACGUUGUUGUAGUUAAAAAGCUCGUAGUUGAAUUUCUGGCGUUCCCGCAGCCUCUUAUGAGCGCUAUACGGGGGCGUCAUCCGCUUGGGAAGGCGUUCUGUGGGAAACUACGAGCGUUGGAACAGGCAUUUUACUUUGAAGAAAUUAGAGUGUUCCAGGCAGGCCUUGCUUGAAUAUAUCAGCAUGGAAUAAUGGAAUAGGAUUCGUCCUUUUAUUGGUGAUUGGACGUUUAAUGAUUAACAGGGACAGUUGGGGGCAUUCGUAUUCAUUUGUCAGAGGUGAAAUUCUUGGAUUAGAUGAAGACGAACUAAUGCGAAAGCAUUUGCCAAGGAUGUUUUCAUUAA
rnacentral:rRNA from 1 species